rnacentral:piRNA from 1 species
AUGUUAACGAAAGAAAUGCCCGGGCU